CCGGAGGCCCUGAUCAACAAGCUGUCAACUAGAUGCUGUGCGCUCUAGGGGCUCGGUAGUGUGGAAGGUGCCAACCUCAUGCCCACCACAGGACCUUUUCCUUGGUUGCUCCUGUCUGUGCUGCCCCUCCAUGGACCUGCUGUGCGAACCCUGAGCCAGCCCCUCAUCCUGUCGCCCUGUCCUGUCUCACAUCACCUAUCACCGUGCCUCCAUCUGCUCGCCUAUGGCCUCCCCCGUUGCCGUACCCUGAGUCAGAGCCAUAUCUACCCUGGAAUGAAAAACAGAGCCUGAGACUUCUGGGGUUCCUGCUGCCACACCCCACCCCUGGAGGGGGCUGAGCUCUGGGAAGCCAGCCAGAUGAUGCUGUUCCUUCAGCAAGUUCUGGCUAGGACCACUGAAAACCUGUAUGGUUGUAUUAAACAAGGUACAGCUCUAGGGAAAACUCUCCGACUGGUGCCCGGACAGCCAUAAGACUGCUCACCACCCUAUGGCAUGGAAGAGCCAAAACUCAAGACAUCCCAAAUGUCCACUGGCAGAACGGACUAAGGCUUGGGCGUGACUCUUGGAGGGGAGUUAAAGAGCCAUGGAAAGGAACUGGAGCAAUGUGGGCUGGUGCAAACAGCUCACAGAAAAUGCCCAGCCAAGCCCCAAGCCAACUGCAGGGUACCACCCGGAGGAAGCACCACACCACCUAUUUCUCUGCAAUGAUCCCAAGCAUGGUGAAGGCAGAAGGCAGGGGCUAACACUGCCCCAGCACUGCUUGUUUUAUUUUAAGCAGAAUGAUGUGCACCUGAUUAUUUUUCUGGCCAUUCCUUAGAUUUCUUUGAUGUCUGAAACACCUUAUAACUUUUUUCCCCGCUGCAGUGCUGGGGAGCUGAACCCAGGACCUCAGCAUGCUAUAUCCCUAGGCCUUUGUAAACUUUAAUGAUGCUUCUGGGCCUAGGGCUCCAGAAACAACACCAUGGCAGGCUGGCCAAGGCACCUUUUUCCUAGUCCUGCUUCUCUGCAGCACUCCUUGUGGGCUUCCCACCCAGGAACCCCCAACACUCCAGUGCAGAGAAGGCAGAGGGGCCUGCUGUGGCCUUCUACCCCUGCACUGGGCAAUAUAGGGACAGACAGAACACUUGGGUGCCCUUGCAUGCGUGGGGAGAGAGCCAGAGGGGAUGGAGGCUUCCCAGAGAGCCUGCAACUGUGAGAUUAAAACAAAGAAGCCAAGGGAAGAGAAUCCAUGACCACAUGACCCCGAAGUGUCACACAGGCUACCCAGCUGUCAGAGGAUCCACAGCAACUCAGAUUCAAGGGUAACAUGCAGAUGUGACUAAGAAGCAAGAAGCAAAAG